rnacentral:rRNA from 1 species
UACGUAGGUGGCAAGCGUUGUCCGGAAUUAUUGGGCGUAAAGAGCUCGUAGGCGGUCUGUCGCGUCGGAUGUGAAAAUCCAGGGCUCAACCCUGGACCUGCAUUCGAUACGGGCAGACUAGAGUUCGGCAGGGGAGACUGGAAUUCCUGGUGUAGCGGUGAAAUGCGCAGAUAUCAGGAGGAACACCGGUGGCGAAGGCGGGUCUCUGGGCCGAUACUGACGCUGAGGAGCGAAAGCGUGGGGAGCAAACAGG